CAGCACUCUCCGUGGGUGGCG
rnacentral:snRNA from 1 species